rnacentral:rRNA from 1 species
UACGGGGGGGGCAAGCGUUGUUCGGAAUUACUGGGCGUAAAGGGCUCGUAGGUGGCCAACUAAGUCAUACGUGAAAUCCCUCGGCUUAACCGGGGAACUGCGUCUGAUACUGGAUGGCUUGAGUUUGGGAGAGGGACGCGGAAUUCCAGGUGUAGCGGUGAAAUGCGUAGAUAUCUGGAGGAACACCGGUGGCGAAGGCGGCGUCCUGGACCAAUACUGACACUGAGGAGCGAAAGCCAGGGGAGCAAACAGG